AUAUAUAUAUAUAUAUAUAUAUAUAUAUAUAUAUAUAUAAUGUGAAACGGGAAAAUAAAUGCGUGUGGGUUGAUAAAGAACUUAAUCAUUUUAUUUCACGUAUUUCAUGGCUUUAAUUCGGGAACAAAAGAUUAACUCCUUCUUCAAGUUCACAGUUGAAUAUUAUUUGAAGGUUAAGUUGAAAAGUUGGCAACCAAUUAGGAUGCUCAAAGGGAUGUAAGGGCUCCCAUGUCCCUAUCAGAUCUGCACAAACCACAAAGUACAGUAACACCAACAGUGAAAAAUCUGACUUUUGUAAACUGACGUGAAUGUUGAUAAAACCGCUGCUUAAUGUUAAACCAAUUAGCACAUGAACAAGAGGCAGAAAGGGCAGAGGCACAUGAUGAAUGGACAAUGGCAGCUUAGAUGAGAAAUUCAAACAGGAAAUCAGAGACACGAAGCUUGUUCCAGCUUGACCUGCACCACAGUCAUAAGCCUGGAUAAUAAAGGUGUACUCCUUCUGAAUUUCACAAUCAAUUGGUCCUUUUGCUCUGAGACGCCCUUCUCCAGAUGUCUUGUUCAGCACUACAGCUUCAAAAGGAGUAUCUUGUCCAUGAAUUUUGAAUGCACAUAUUUCCCCUGGAAGAUCAAAAUGUAAAAAAAUUGUUGUUAGAAACAACUUAAAUUGUAAUUAAAGCUCUCAGUAAACAUUAAAGGACUGAUUUAUUAAAUUAUACCAGGGAAGUUACUGAUAGCAACUAACAAGCAAUUAGUAGAGUACUACAAGUUAGAAAAUGAAAGCAAAUAUCUAAUUGGUUUCUAUGAUUAAUGCACUUGAACAAGGUAAGUAAAUUAGUCAAUAAGUCUGUGACAUAAAUGUAUUCCCCCACUGCCACCAACACACGGGAGGUGUUUCCUCUGGGACCGCCACAGCAUUACCCAGAAAUUACCAAGCAAGUUACUACUAAACAUUUCCCAUUAGUAGCCAUGUGGUGGUUUUGCAAGAUGUAUCUCUAAGCUGUUUAGAAAAUACCCCAGUUCCCAGUGAUACUUUACUGUAGGCAGAUACAUUUUUUUCCAAGGAUAAACGCUAGGCAUAAUAUGCGCUCAAUUUGUGUCAAAACAAAAGUGCAAUUCAGGGCUAGACUAGGCUGGCGGGACACCAGGAAAAAAACCUGGUGGGCCCCGCCAUCCCAUACCUGAUCCUAGCAGGCCUCCCUCACCCAAUCGUGUCUGCUUAUGCACACUCAGGGGGAGGGACAGGGCACCAGCAGGGGGCCUGUGUGUGUUUGUGCGGCCCGGGGACAGAUUAGGUGCAUGCAGUGCAUGUAACUCUAAGCCCUCAUGCAACUCUGCUGGAAUAAUGGACAGAAAUGCUGCAUUAUGGGUAAAACCAUGAUGAUUUGCAUCCAAAGCUGCACUCUGCUUACUGCAAUGGCCUUUAAAACAAGCCCAAGAUUCUUAAUAUUAAUAUUCUUGCACGUGAUCAAUCUAAAAAAGCACACUUUGGAGUGCUCACAAGUGCAGCCAUGGCCCCCACACUCACGUCCAUAUAUAACACUUACAUUAAAGGUACUUGAACCAAUAUGUGCUACUUGCACUUCUGUAUAGUUGUGCUCAGCUCUGUGCAGUCCUUCCUGCCCCUUCCAUUUCAAACUGAGCACAGCUAUUACCUAUUGAUGCAGUAAAACCCUGGAGCUUCUGCCACCUCCUGACCCGGCGGUGGCUCCAGGCUUCCCUUCUCACCCAGUAUGAAUUGGUGCAGCACACGUGUGCCUAAAUAUGUGCUUAGUAAUAUUAUAUUAACAUUAUGUUAUGGGGCUGCUGUGCUGCUUUCCAUUGCCAGCUGGCCUAUGCAUCUUUAAUUACAGCCUCUGUUCAAUUCCCAAUUACUUUUUGGUAACCUUUGCUACAACAUGUCUCUCUUUUUUUUUUUUUUUUUUGUUGGUUCAGAAUGCUGUCGCCUAUCCUCAUCAACAACCUUAUACAAGGGGAGAACAACACUGAGGAUGGUAAAGACAGGGGAGGUCAGAAGGUACAUGGGGAUUGAAAGGGAUGCUGCAACUCAAUAGGCAUUGGGCUAUUGCCUGUAGGACAUCUGUAGGACAUCAGUAUCAGUGUGCAAUAUUAUUAAGAAUUAAAAACUUAGUGUGUUAGCUUCUGCUUAAGCAGUAAGCAACCUUUAUUGCUCAUUGUUUCUACCACACUAGUGUAUGAGUUUGUGUAUUGCUGAUAUGUGUGUAUUGCUGACUUGUGCAUUUUAUGCAAAUGAUUCUAAUUAAAUGUUCAUCAAACAUCUACUAAAAUUAAAAAUUUCCUUGUUCCACCACUUGAUUUCAUACUUGGCUUUAGGAUCCAAUAAAUAUGUGCAUAAGAUUGCUUCCUUGCUUAAA